UACGUAGGGGGCUAGCGUUGUCCGGAUUUAUUGGGCGUAAAGAGCGUGUAGGCGGCCAGGUAGGUCUGGUGUGAAGACUCGAGGCUUAACCUCGAGAUGUCAUCGGAAACCAUUUGGCUAGAGUCCGGAAGAGGAGAGUGGAAUUCCUGGUGUAGCGGUGAAAUGCGCAGAUAUCAGGAAGAACACCAAUGGCGAAAGCAGCUCUCUGGGACGGUACUGACGCUGAGACGCGAAAGCGUGGGGAGCGAACAGG
rnacentral:rRNA from 1 species